rnacentral:rRNA from 1 species
UGAGGAAUAUUGGUCAAUGGGCGGAAGCCUGAACCAGCCAUGCCGCGUGCAGGAAGACGGCCCUACGGGUUGUAAACUGCUUUUCCGGGGGAAGAAUAAGGGCGACGUGUCGCCCGAUGCCGGUACCCCGGGAAUAAGGAUCGGCUAACUCCGUGCCAGCAGCCGCGGUAAUACGGAGGAUCCGAGCGUUAUCCGGAUUUACUGGGUUUAAAGGGUGCGUAGGCGGGCGCUUAAGUCAGCGGUGAAAUACGGGGGCUCAACCUUCGAACGGCCGUUGAUACUGGGCGCCUUGGAUUCGGUCGAGGCGGGCGGAAUGCGUGGUGUAGCGGUGAAAUGCUUAGAUAUCACGCAGAACGCCGAUUGCGAAGGCAGCUCGCCAGGCCGACAUUGACGCUGAGGCACGAAAGCGUGGGGAUCGAACA